GUUUGAUCCUGGCUCAGGACGAACGCUGGCGGCGUGCUUAACACAUGCAAGUCGAACGGUGACGAGGAGCUUGCUCCUCUGAUCAGUGGCGAACGGGUGAGUAACACGUGAGCAACCUGCCCCAGACUCUGGGAUAACAGUUGGAAACAGCUGCUAAUACCGGAUACGAGACGGAGAGGCAUCUCUACCGUCUGGAAAGUUUUUCGGUCUGGGAUGGACUCGCGGCCUAUCAGCUAGUUGGUGAGGUAAUGGCUCACCAAGGCGACGACGGGUAGCCGGCCUGAGAGGGCGACCGGCCACACUGGGACUGAGACACGGCCCAGACUCCUACGGGAGGCAGCAGUGGGGAAUAUUGCACAAUGGGCGAAAGCCUGAUGCAGCGACGCCGCGUGAGGGAUGAAGGCCUCGGUG
rnacentral:rRNA from 1 species